UGGCGAACGGGUGAGUAACACGUGGGUGAUCUGCCCUGCACUCUGGGAUAAGCCUGGGAAACUGUGUCUAAUACCGGAUAGGACCAUGCUUUAGUGUGUGUGGUGGAAAGUUUUUCGGUGUAGGAUGAGCCCGCGGCCUAUCAGCUUGUUGGUGGGGUAAUGGCCUACCAAGGCGGCGACGGGUAGCCGGACUGAGAGGUUGGUCGGCCACAUUGGGACUGAGAUACGGCCCAG
rnacentral:rRNA from 1 species